rnacentral:misc_RNA from 1 species
GAAAUGCGAUAAGUAAUGUGAAUUGCAGAAUUCAGUGAAUCAUCGAAUCUUUGAACGCAUCUUGCGCUCCUUGGUAUUCCGAGGAGCAUGCCUGUUUGAGUGUCAUUCAAGUUCUCAAACCAUGUUGAUUGUUUUUCGAUGUGGUUUGGAUGUGGGGGUGUGCAGGCCUUUUUGAAGGGUCAGCUCCUCUGAAAUGCAUUAGUGGUAUCCAAGCAGAUAAACUACCACAGGUGUGAUAAAAUGUAUCUAUGCCUUGGUGAGCUGCAUGAAUGGAUUGCACUGCUUAUAACAAGUGGUUGACCAUGCCACGCUUUGAUGAAUUUGACCUCAAAUCAGGUAGGACUACCCGCUGAACUUAA